CAACCCUGAUCCAGCCAUGCCGCGUGAGUGAUGAAGGCCUUCGGGUUGUAAAGCUCUUUUGGCGGGGACGAUGAUGACGGUACCCGCAGAAUAAGCCCCGGCUAACUUCGUGCCAGCAGCCGCGGUAAGACGAAGGGGGCUAGCGUUGUUCGGAAUUACUGGGCGUAAAGCGCGUGUAGGCGGUUGCCAAAGUCGGGUGUGAAAGCCUUGAGCUCAACUCAAGAAAUGCACUCGAUACUUGGUGACUAGAGGACCGGAGAGGAUAGUGGAAUUCCCAGUGUAGUGGUGAAAUACGUAGAGAUUGGGAAGAACACCAGUGGCGAAGGCGGCUAUCUGGACGGUUUCUGACGCUAAGACGCGAAAGCGUGGGGAGCAAACAGGAUUAGAUACCCUGGUAGUCCACGCCGUAAACGAUGGGUGCUAGACGUUGGCGAGCUUGCUCGUCAGUGUCGCAGCUAACGCGUUAAGCACCCCGCCUGGGGAGUACGGCCGCAAGGUUG
rnacentral:rRNA from 1 species